rnacentral:lncRNA from 1 species
UACUAACACACUUUGUUUCUAAUGGAAAAUGAAAUAUACAGUUUUCAGUGGACUAUCCGAACGAUAAUAUCACGGCCGUUAGUGGAACCUACAAACGUGUUUACACCUAUGAUACGACUCUCAUCACAUCACUUUACUUCACAACCUCCAAAGGUUUCACCUCUCCAUUAUUCGGUAUCGACAGUGAAAAGAAGGGAACAGACUUCGAGUUCAAAGGUGAAAAUGGAGGAAAGCUUAUUGGUUUGCAUGGACGUGGUGGUAAUGCGAUUGAUGCCAUUGGAGCUUACUUCGACACCGGUUCACAAGGAGGUAAGGGCGGCGGCGGCGGUUCACAAACUGAUGUCCCCGGGAAGAAGGGACCUCUUGGUGGUGAAAAAGGAGAAGAGUUCAACGAUGUUGGUUUCGAAGGUGUGAAGAAAAUUACCGUUGGAGCCGAUCAAUACAGUGUAACUUACAUCAAGAUCGAAUACGUGAAAGAUGGAAAAGUCGAAGUCCGUGAGCACGGGACAAGUCGUGGGGAGCUACAAGAGGUAACAAAUGCGAAAUUUUGUCACACUAUUCAACUGGUUCGUUACUAAUAUAGAUUUGUUUCUAAUAAACAGUUUUCAGUGGACUAUCCUAACGAUAGUAUUACGGCCGUUAGUGGAACCUACAAACAUAUUUUCACCUAUGAUACGACUCUCAUCACAUCGCUUUACUUCACAACCUCCAAAGGUUUCACCUCUCCAUUAUUCGGUAUCGACAGUGAAAAGAAGGGAACAGAAUUCGAGUUCAAAGGUGAAAAUGGAGGAAAGCUUCUUGGGUUCCACGGACGUGGCGGUAAUGCUAUUGAUGCAAUAGGAGCUUACUUCGACACCGGUUCACAAGGAGGUAAGGGUGGCGACGGUUCAAAAACUGAUGUCCCAGGGAAGAAGGGACCUCUUGGUGGUGACAAGGGAGAAGAGUUCAACGAUGUUGGUUUCGAAGGUGUGAAGAAAAUUACCGUAGGAGCCGAUCAAUACAGUGUAACUUACAUCAAGAUCGAAUACGUGAAAGAUGGAAAAGUCGAAAUCCGUGAGCACGGGACAAGUCGUGGGGAACUACAAGAGGUAAUAAAUGCGAAUUUUUGUCACACUAUUCAAUUGGUUCGUUACUAAUAUAGAUUUGUUUCUAACCAACAGUUUUCAGUGGACUAUCCUAACGAUAGUAUUACGGCCGUUAGUGGAACCUACAAACGUGUUUACACCUAUGAUACGACUCUCAUCACAUCACUUUACUUCACAACCUCCAAAGGUUUCACCUCUCCAUUAUUCGGUAUCAACAGUGAGAAGAAGGGAACCGAAUUCGAGUUCAAAGGUGAAAAUGGAGGAAAGCUUAUUGGUUUGCAUGGACGUGGUGGUAAUGCUAUUGAUGCAAUUGGAGCUUACUUUGACACCGGUUCACAAGGUGGUGACGGAGGCGACGUCCCUAGUAAAGACGGUCCUAACACUGAUGUCCCCGGGAAGAAGGGACCGCUUGGUGGUGACAAGGGAGAACCAUUCGACGAUGUUGGUUUUGAAGGUGUGAAGAAAAUAACCGUCGGAGUAGACAACUUAAGCAUAACUUAUAUCAAGAUCGAAUACGUAAAAGAUGGAAAAGUUGAAGUCCGUGAGCACGGAACGGCUCGUGGGAAACUACAAGAGGUAUAAAAUAAAAUUUAUUGGUGACUUAUGUUAAAAUAUUCAAUUAGUUUGAUACUAAUACGUUUGCUUCUAAUGGUAAAUGAAAUACAGUUUUCAGUGGACUAUCCAAACGAUAGUAUCACGGAAGUUGCUGGAACCUACAAACAUAACUACACCUAUGAUACGACUCUCAUCACAUCGCUUUACUUCACAACCUCCAAAGGUUUCACCUCUCCAUUGUUCGGUAUCGACAGUGAAAAGAAGGGAACAGAAUUCGAGUUCAAAGAUGAAAAUGGAGGAAAACUUAUUGGGUUUCAUGGACGUGGUGG